AGAACUUGAACCGUUGAUGCCUUAUCUAUACUCUGCAACGUCACAACUACCCACUUUGGCACCGUAGGCGACUUGAUCUCUAUAUAUCAUGCCAAAUCAGAAGCAAGAACUCGCUCAAGUACUUAUUUUUUAAUAUAGUGCACUCGAAGCUAGCAAAGAUCUUUUCUGACUUGAAGAAUAUGAAAACUCUUGCUGGCGCAGGUAUUUAGGCCUACUUCAGUUUCUUUUUUGAGAAGGGCCAACUUCAGUUGAAUAUCAUUUAUAAUUCUUUUUUUAAUAUAUGCAUUUAUGAAUAUAUUUUUCAAUAUAAAAUUUUUAGGUAUGAGCGAUCCGUCAGAAGGUUUGGUACUCCCUUCUAGUAUUGCUGAUGAUGAUGUUGGAAAUGACAAUCUUGAUCUUAUUGUUAUUCCUCAAUAUGGGAGAAAUCCUGAUUAUUAUGGGUAAGUGUCUGCAAUCUGGAUGAUGAUAUAUGUAAUUAAAUAAAAGGAUGGGUACAGUUAUUACCUAUCAAUCAUAAGAGUGUCAAUUUAGUUCAGUUCACUAAUAAAAAUCUCUUAUACAAGAGAUUAUCUUUGUUUGCGUUCAUGUACUUUGUCUUCUUUAAUUAAUAAAUAAAAUUAUUGUGUAUCAAUGUGUUGAUUAAAUUAGUCCAUUAAUAGAUAUAAAAUCAUUUGAAUUUGUCCACAUAUUAGUUUAGUUAAUUGUGCUCUCUUUCUUCUUGAAUAUUUGUCAAACAAAGUCUACCUAUUAGUUAGCUAAUAAUCGCAGCUCGCAGGGAACCAAGAUCUUUAUAAUUAAUUACGAACGUUUAUGCUUCUUAAAUGGCUUGUGUCAUCGUGAUAAUGCCAUUACAACCUGUUAUAUAUAUAUAUAUAUAUAUAUAUAUUCAAAAGCAUUCCAACUCUAUGAACCUUCUAUUACACAAUUUUCAAAUGGUAUAAACAUCUAUUUUAAUUAGAGUAAAAUGUUGCUUGUUAGAAUGGCCCGUGAGUCAAUCUAAUUUGCGCUGGGACAAAUUAAUAGAACUUUAAAACUUUUCGACGGGUUUUGAUAAGACUUUAACUUGUCAAACCGUGGGUUGCUGUACGACGGGACUUGAAAAAAAACAUGUUGAGUUCUUUAUAAUUAAUGUUUAAAAUAUUUCAUUAAUUUUAGAGAAUAUUAAAAUAAAAAAUAAGUAAAUUCACGUUGAUCGAGAAAAAUACUGAAAUAUCGAUGCGUGUUUAGGACGAUAUAGAGGAUCUAUUUGAUCACAUUUAAUUCGCAUGCAACAGUAAUUCUGUCACAUUCUAUCACAGAUUCACGAAAGCUUCUCAUCAAAGUAUAGAAACAGAAAACUGUAAAAUUUAACGGGGGAAAACCUAUUAAACAAGAAAACAAAGCAGCCCCUCCGUACUGUGAAAUUACUUGCAAGCCAGUUGCGGUUGAGUUUGGGAAUGAGGGGCUGAGUUUGAGAUAAAUGGAGGGGAGAUAAGUUUGACUAAAAGGGGAUUCACAGGAAGACUUUAAGGGAGAAGAGACGAGUUUGAGAAAAAUUAGGAUAGAGAUUUAGAGGAGAUGAUUUGGGGUCUCAAAUUAACUAAUCCAUUCUUACAAUCACACAAACCGAUGGAAACCCAUUCAGAUUUUGAAAUAAUGAUGGUGACAUUAGUAGCUUAAGCCAAAACAUAAUUUAAAAAUAACAUAUAUAUAUAUAUAUAUAUAUAUAUAUAUAUAUAUAUAUAGUCAUUCUCUAGUGUAGGUAUCUUCAUUUAUUUUUCAUGCGAACACAUUUUAAAACCGCGGAGUUUAAGAGAGUUAGUUUUUAACUCUUUAAAACCGCAUAGUUUAAAAGUUUAUCCGUAUUAAAAAAAAUACGGGCGUCCGCACCUGAGAAUGAUUUUAUAUACACACACGUAUAAAGUAAUUUUUUAAUUGUGAAUUAUCAACCAUAUUAAAGUCAAGAGAAAGUUUAUAAAAAAAACCACCGACGCUAAUACAACGUAUUUUGUUGUGUAAUGUUUUGAAAUAUUCCUGCAAAUAAAUGGAUACUGAAAAUGAUCAUAUUAUUUUUAGUGAUUAAUGAUUCUUAUCGAGUAGAUUCCUGAUCUAUGAAAUGACUUACAUGAGCAUAUUCACCCUUUGGGAGUGGGAAACAAGUAAAAUUAUGUGUGCUAGAGGAGCCAAUAUCGAAGAGUUUAAGUCUAUGCUUCUCGUAAUCAAUUUCCAUAUCAAAACAAAAUGGAGUUGAUGAUAAUCUUGAUUUUACUAAAAAAAAAAAGGAAUAAUAGAUGUCUCAUUAGAAAAUAUUAAUGUGCCAUAUAUAUAAUAGUUCAAUCAUGUAAAAAUACUUGAAAAAUUAAUCUUGAGAAUGCAAAAUAAGAACUAUAGCAAGCACCUCUACAGGCAUAAAUUAAAAGAAUUGCAACGUGUACAUGAAGACUGCUAGACAUAGAAAAAAGUGAUAAAAAAAAAAACUGAUAUAUGAUAAAGAGCAUAAUAGAGAUAGUUGUUAUUAGGGAUGGUAAAAUUCUCCAUGGGUUGGGGUUCUCUAGGGCUCCAUGAUACAAACUCUUAAAAUAAUUAAAAUUAUUUAUUUUAUUUUAUGGUAUUAGUUAAUUUUGAACUAGUCAAAAGUAGUUGCACUUAUUUUGUGGAAUUACAUGUAAGUAAUGGAGCAUUAUGUGAAAACAAGCCCAAUGUUACUAAUUUUUAGGUUGUAAUCUUAAAUAAGCUUUAUUAUAUAAAGCUUGAUGUUAGUCAAUGAAAAGUAUCAUGAGUUAAUUAUUUGGCAACAUAAAAGUUGUAAUUGGGAGUUUAUUGGUUUCUCGAAUAACUAGUAUUUAUUUGGAGAUUUGGGUUUCUUCAAAUUAAUCCCAUUUGUCAUCUAAUUUUUUCUGUUUCAUUUGAUUUCUCCUUAUAAACAGUAGCAUUCGUAUCAUUCCACCCCAAAUGGGGUGAAUUUUGAAUAAUUUUUGGAGAAUGAGGUGGGGAAUUAGAGAAAAAUAAUCUCCAAAUUCUUAAUAAUAUGGGGUUUGAUUUUGUACUUCCCACUCCACAGUCCACACCCACUCCAGUCCCCAUUACAUAUAAAUAUUUUUUAAUUUUUAUUUAAUAAAUUUUUUAUCAAUUACAAUGUCAAUUAAUAAUUUUUUUUAUUUUCACUUGAUAUAAAUGAGUUAUGACUAAAAGAAAACCCUAUAAUAUAAUUUUUAUUCAACCCUAAAACAUUGUUAUAUUUUCUUUUCUAUCUUAAAAUACCACUCUCUUCAAACAUUUUUCAAUUUUGAUAUUAUUUUAAGAUAUUGUUUCAGACAUUUGGAGAUUUUUUUAAAUAAUUUGAAUACUUCAUAAUAUAGUAAUGAUUUUAUUGAACUCUUUAAUUUUUAAUUUAUUGAAAUCAUAUAUCUAUAUCUACUAUAAAAUAAAAAUAAAUGGGGAAUGAGGAGGGAUGGGGAUGGGGAUGAGGAAAUCAUUUCUCAUGUGGGGAUUCCUUAUACCCACCCCACUAAAUUCAUUGAGAAAUGAAGUGGGAAUUAGAGGCAAAAUUUUUAACACGGUGGGGAAUGGGAUAGCCUUCCUACCCCCACCCCACCCCAUUGCCAUCUCUAGUUGUUAGAUGGUGGAUAAUUUUACAUAAAUUAAUUGUAUUAAACUUAUUAUCCGAAUAAAAUUGUUUUAAAUAAAAUUUUAAUAAAUGAAAUUUUGGAAAUAUGUAAUAUUAUUUUUAAUAAUAGUGAUACACAAACUCGUCAAAAUUAAUUUGUCAAUCAUCUGUAAAUUUUACCAACUCUAUAGUUCAAUUAACAUUUUUCUAAACCUCAUUUUAUAUUUAUCGCUUUUGAAGAUUAAAAUAUCAUGAUUUAUUAUGUCCAUAUAAGUAAUUUGAUAACCUCAUUUCAGUAUAUCAGAAUAUCAAGAUUUAUUAGGUCUUUACUUGCGCUUUUGGCUGCAAGAGCCUUCGCCAAUUGAUCAUUUUAUGGGGUUUGACAUAGCCACAAAAUUAAGAUAAAGGUUCAAAGACAGUAUUACAGGUUCAUCCACCAUAAAACAAAUGAUAUUUUGAAAAGAAAAUUAAGACCCUAUUAGUUAAUUUGUCUCGUAAUUAAUUAUUGUCGACAAGCCAUCACAAACUUUCUUCAAUUAUUCCUACUUUUCUAAAAAAAUCUUUAAUGAUAAAAUUAUUUGCACUCUAAAAAUUAUUCUUUAACAUUAUUUUAAUAAAUUAUUUUAUGAGUGAUGAUACAGCCACAAACUCUUGUACAAACUUAUUUCGUACAAACUGAUGUGGCAUCAAUUCAUUGGUUGAAUGAAAAUACAAAAUAAUGAAAAUAAAUCAUGUGGGCCAAGAGAUAUUUAAUUUAACCAAUUUUAUCAUGCCACAUCAGUUUGUACAAAAUAAGUUUGUACAAGAAUUUGUGGCUAUAUCAUUACUCUUAUUUUAUUACAAAAAUACUCAUCAUAUGAAUUAUUGACAAGGAUUCUCUCUUAUAGGCUAAUAUAAUAUAAUUAUUCUGAAUACUCAUAUGGCAUACUCACUAUUCAAUAUAUAAUUUCUCUUGUCAUAAAUCCUAAAAAUCUUAUUUUCAAUCUCUUGAAUAAUGUUUAAUUAAACAAGGAGCAAAUCAAUACUAAAAAUACAUUUUGAACAUAUUUUUGCUUGUUAAUUUUUUUUAAAAAGUAGUUUUUUUAAAUAAGCAUUUAAUUCAGAAGAUGCAUGCUUGGAGUUAUGAUUUUGGAUGUAGAGAAGAUUUGAUCGGAAACGAGAAAUGGCGGCAGCAAGCUUAUUGAAUCGUCGUUCUGCGAAGAAGAGUUUGCUUUUUGCUGUUUCUAGUGGAAUGUCACUUAAUAAUCAAAACAGGCUUCUUCUUCUUUCUUUUUUAAAACCUAUAGCUUUAUGGUUUAUGCUUAGUAACAAAAAAAGAGUCAAAUAUCAGUGGUCUCUAUAACUAACAGUGAGCAAGAUUCGAUUUUGAAAAAUCUUGUACCAAUUUGCUUUUGUGCUAUUUUAUAUUCAAUUGACGAAAGAAUUAAUGCUGUAACUGCUACCCUUGUGUCGAUGACUACAUUAAUAAUGCCCCCAAAUUAAAGCCCACAUAAAAUUAAAUAGUAUACUCUAGCAAAUUAAAUUAAGUCAUAUUGUAAGGUAUCAAGAAUUAAAUAUUCUAUUAGCAAAGUCAAAACGUGAAAUCUAUCCAAACCAAGCCCACCGGUUUGUCCAUGAAAAUUAAUUAUUUCUUCAUUAUUAUCGAAUUAAUAUCUUCACUUGAUAACAUGGUUUACGAGGUAGGUCGCACAUUAAUUAUAUGAUUACUUCAUAGUUAUCCAAUAUCUUCGUACACCUUUUAUGACUAACCUAUUGGUCUAUCCAAAUUAAUAGUCACUUAAUUUAUUGUGGUCCAAUAUCAUCACUUGAUAAGAUUAAAGCAUAUAUACCCACAGCCCCCUAUAUGCCUCUUAAUUAUAUAUCAUGACUUUGUCCAGCAAGAGAGAAAGAGAGAAAGGGUAGGACUCUUUUCGAGCUUUUACAAAUCUACGGUAGAAUAAGAUGAUUUAAGUAAAAAUAAUUUAAAAAAAAAAAACCAAAUACCAAAAUUAACUUUCAAAAUUUUAAAAUUAUUUUCUGCCAUCUCAAAAACAGUGUCAAAUGAAACCUUUUAUCCAACUAAAAAAAAAUAGUGAAAAGUAGUGGGAAUUUUAUUAACCGCACAAAUCAUAAGUCAAAAAAUAUGAACAAAAUAGUUUGUUCUUCGGAACUCUAAUAAAUUGGAGGCAUGUGCUGCCCGAAACCAAAUGAUGCAUCAAGAUUUGUUCUUUGAAAAAUAAAUUAAUUUGUUAGUAGAUAGUUGCGUGUUUUACUUUCAAAAAAGGCUAAAAUAAUUUCAGGCCUUGGAUGCAUCUAACGGCUGAAAUCAUAAUAUCAAGAUUUAUUCUUAAGUCUUUGUUUGAUAUCAAGAUUUUUGAUUCAACCGCACAAUUAAGUUAAAGUUUCGUAUGCAGACUAUUAGGGAUUCAUCCAGGUAUGCAACAAACAGAUGAAAUGAUAUUUUGAAAAGAAAAUUAAUUUGUCUUGUAAUUAAUUAUUGCCGGCAAACUUUAUCUCAAAUCGCACACUUCUUUUCAAAUAUUAUCUACUUUUCUAGACUCUACGAUUACUGUCUACAUUUUUCAAUGAAUUAUUGCUCGGUAACUAGUUUUUUUACAAUCAUUUUUUUCGCGGACCAGAUCGUGUUUCGCACUAAUUGCAAUCAUUUAACCAUAUAUGGCCGUUAAUCGUACCCAGCCAUUGCGCGAAAAAACAUCAGCCGUUGAUCGUUUAUCUGUACAAUUUUUUAAUAUUUAUAAUAUUUUACUUAUAAAUCAUGAUUUUCCUUAAAGUUGUGGAUUCCUCCACUGAAUAGAAAUGGUUGUGAUUUAUUUGUCAAUUCAAAAGUUCCAACAGUAUUUCAAUGUUGUGCAUUUUCAGCUAAUUAGUCAAAGAUAAUCUAGUGCAUCUUCAGAAUUUUUAUCCCUAAAUUUACCAUUACACAUUAUUUCAACAACCUAUCUACUUUAGGGUAUCAAGCUCUUGUAGAAAUAAAUGACCAAUCACCAAGUUUCAAAACCAUGGUGUGGACAUAUGUUAAGCAAUUCUUUAAACCCAUCCCAACAUUGGUAUAAUGUUUCUCCAUUUUUUUUAGUGAAAUAAGUGAUUUGCCUUUUAAAAGAAUUGGUUCUAUGAGGUGGAAAGAAUUUUUUCAAAAAUUAUUCUUACAUGUUAUUCGAAGUUCUUAUUGAUUCAGAUCUAAAGUUUUAUAGCCAAGUUUUAGCUUUAUUUUUUAAUGAAAAAAGAAAAAGUUUCAACCUAACUAUGUUCAUGCUACAAUUUUGGUUUAUAUAUGUAUUACAAACUUCCUCAAAGAUGCAAGUAUGGAUUCUCAGAUUCUAAACCAUGAAAUGUUGGUAAAAGUUGGAUAAUACAUGGUUUAAAGUUGAAUCGAGAAGCCUCUGGAGGUAGGGGUGGCAAAUAUACCCGCCCAGUCUGGAUCCGGACCGUACUCGGGCGUUUUGGGCAUCACUUGAUAAACCCAGAACCCGGAUUUUAUUUCAAAAAAUUAUUAGAAAAUAUAUAUUAUUUUAAAUAUUUAUAUUUAUUUGACUCAUUUAUUACACAUAUAUAAAGUUUUAAACACUUAAAGUUCAUAAUUUCAUGUCAAAUUUUAUUAAAAAUAAAUUUAAAACUUAUAAAAUUACCAAAAAAAUACACAUAUAAUAUUAAAAAAAUAUAAAAUUCGGGUACCCGGAUUAAAGCCCAGCACAACCCGGCCCGGGCAUCUAUGCAUCCGGGUCGGGUCCGGUCAUUGCGAUACCCGGACCCGGGCCAGGGUUUUGCCAACCCUAUCUGGAGGAAAUACUAUACAGCUCCGAUUCUAGUUGGAUUCAUGUAGUCUCUCAAGAUUCUUCGUCGAUUCUGAUCACGUCCAGGUUGAGACUGAUUGUCUCCCUGAUAAAUUUGAGGAUUAGGUUCGCCCAAAAGUUUUUCAUCUUGGAUUUCGUCCAUAAUUAGUGAUGGAGAUUGAGAUCUACGAAUUAACCUGCCACCUGAAGUUCGAGACCAAUGUGUCAUGAAAUGGUUAUAUCACAAAGGUAAUAUUCAAAUAAAUUAGUAACAAAAGAACUAAAUGAAAAUUGCACAAAACAAAAAUAAAAAUUAAAUAUGCAAAUAAUAAGAGGAUGAAUACCCCGAAAUCUGGGUUGUGACUUUUGAUCAUUGUCGCAGCAUGAAGUUUGUUGUGACCUCUAGUUCACAUGCACUCUGUUUUUGUAGUUGCCGCAUGUCAAUGUUAUUGUAGUUCCCUUUUUAGGCUAUAUCUUGUCUAGUUGUCUUUGUGCUCGAAAGUGUGAACUUAGUCAGCGUCGAUAAAUGGAGUGCUUUUGCAUGUUACUUUUUAAUGAAUGGUGGAAACAAUAAUUCAUAAGCAUCUUAGCAUAACAUUUUCGCUCAAUUAAUGCAUAUCAAUAGCGGUUUACUCAUGCUCUGUAUGUGACGCAUUUCUAGGAAGCUUAUAUAUGGAGUUCAUUCGUUUCUGAGGUAUGCUAGAUUUGCAUGGGAAAAAUGAUAAUUUUGACCUGUUUAUUGUCCCUCAAUAUGGGAGAAAUCCUGACCAUACUGGUUAGGUACAUGUAAUAUUUGUUUAUUGCCCUUUAAUAUGGGAGAAAUCCUGACCAUACUGGUUAGGUACAUGCAAUAUUAAUCUUUCGUUUUAUGUUUAAUUAAAUAAAAGGAUAGGUAAUGUUAUUACUUAUGAAUCAUGUCAGUGCCAUUUUGGUUCAGUUCAACUAUUAAUAUCUCUUAGAAUGUUAAAGAAAUUAUCACUGUUAGUGUCCAUGUACUUCGUCUUUUUUAAUAAAUAAAAUUAUCACGUGUCAAUGUGUUAUUUGUUUUGAUCUUUCAACAAAAUUCAGUUUAAUUAAUUAUGCCCUCUUUCAUCACGAAUGUGUGUGUGUAUAUAUUUGAAAAAACUAAAACAAUGAGGGGCACUAUAACUUUUUAUUUGCCAAACAUGGGAUUGUGUAAAAUUAAUACAAUGAGAGGCUUUAAUACAACAACCAAACAAGCUCUUAAGGGAAAAGGACACACACCCCCAUGCCUAAUAUUUAAUAAAGCGACAGAUAUAUUUGUUAAUUUAUAAAGUUUAUUAACUAAUAAAUGCCAAAUAUACUAAUUUUUAUUGUAGUAUAAGCCCAAGUUCAUGGUAGAGAAAACAGGCCUAGGCCCUUUGUAGGAUUGUCCAAGUUGGAACAGGUCGAACUUAAGACUUUUUUAACAAUUCAAUAAAAUAAAACAAUAGCUAAAAGGUAAAAACAACUUAAGUUAAAGAGGAUUUUAUUAAUUUUUUCUCUGUUCAACUAAUUAUACAACAAUAUUUAUUUAAAAAAAAUUGAAAUAGCCUCCAACAAAAAAAAUGAAUUUUACAAAAAUUUACAGCCUACAAAAUGUAGGUUCAAUUGUUCAACAUAGCAUUACUAUAACAAUAAUAAUAAUAAAAGACAUAAUUAGCAUCAGAUUCCAAAUCCAAUAAUCCAAUUUCCAUAAACACUAUCACACUAACAUUUUUUUUCUUUCUUAUUUUUCCAUUCCAUUUUUUUCAAACUUAAUUCGUAAAUUAAAUUUAAUUAUUUAAAGAAAGAAUACGUUUGAGAUUUGAUGCACAAAACAUAUAUAAAUUAUUCAUAAUUUCAAUAUUAGGAAAUAAAUGUUUAGGGGGAUUGAAUUGAUGUCCAAAAUUCAAAUGGCCUAAAUAUGACCCCUUUAUAUAUAUAUAUAUAUAUAUACAGUUAUAGAAUAAUUUUUCAAUGCUGAAUCAUUGACUAUAAAGUCAAGACAAGGUAAAAAAAAAAAAUCAACGUUAAUACAACGUAUAUUGUCGUAUAAUGUUUUGAAAAAUUCCUACAAAUAUAUGGAAACUGAAAAUGACCAUAUUAUUUCUGGCGAUUAAUGAUUCUUGUGGAGUAGAUCCCUGAUCUAUGAAAUGACUUACAUGAGCAUAUUCACCCUUUGGGAGUGGGAAACAAGUAAAAGUAUGUGUGCUAGAGGAGACAACAUUGGGGAGUUAAGUCUGUGCUUCUCGUAAUCAAUUUCCAUAUCUAAAGAAAAUGGAGUUUAUAAUCUUGCUUUUACUAACCUCGUUAACUACUUUGUGAACAAGUUUUUGAUAGACAAAUCUCAAACAUCCAGUGUUUGAUUUUAAGGCCUUUAAGUUUAUGUACUUUCCAUAUUAGGAUCAAUGUCAGAUCUUUAACAACUUUUUUAGAUUUGUAAGUACCUUGGUAUCUUUAGGCCUUCAAUUAUUAAUUUCAGCAAAAAGGUUGAGAAGGAGGAAUUUCUUGAAGAUACGGAGCUUUAUCGUGAUCCUACCACUACACUUCACUAGUAAUAUACUCUCUAAGAUUCUUUUAUUGACAUUGUUUGUUCAAUCCCUUCUUAACCUUCUAGGAUACGACUUUCCUCUUAUUAUACUAUUAAAACAUUUAAUCCUUGAUAUAAAAACAUUUUUAUAGGCCCGAAGUCAGUCCUACAUCAAAAUGCAGAUCUUCAGAAAUAAAUGUAAACCUCUGUUGUUUCAAAAAUUUAAUUCAUGUUAUUUUUCUUUUAAAUUUAUGGUGAUUUGCAGUUCAAGAGUAGUCGUUGGCAUUGUUAUGAUACUAUGAUAGCAGUGCAUGCAGCAAAAGAAAAACAAGUAGCCGGGUAACUAAGCUCCUUGAUUAGUUAUUUUAUUUUUUGUUUGCCUCUAGUCUAACUACAAUUGCCAAUUGUAUGCCCCAAAAUGGUUGCAAUGGUUACAUCUCGAGGGGAGACUUUCGUAGUGAACUUCAACAUUGAAUCCAUAAUCAGAUAGUUCGACUGUAAAGAUUUCCAGCAAAUCACCAUGAAAAUCCACCUUUAUUAAAAUCUUGGCAAAAUGGCCAUACUUUUUCUCUCUUAUUGCCUGAUGAAUUUGCAAAGAAAUGCCAACUUCUCUAGCCACCGUCAUCAGAAUUCUAGGAUGCCAGUACUCCACUCUGGGAUCAUAUGUUCUUAAGGACGUGACUGGAUAGUUGGCUCACAAAGGUUGAAAUUCCAUCACCAUUUGUAUAAGCGAAAGAACCCCUGAGGUAGUUUAUAAUAUUGGGGCAAGAGAAAACAUUUGGUGAAAACCAUCACCUAUAAACUCAGGAAUAUUCAUGUUGUAUUAUCAAGAAUCAAUAGCAUAAUUAUGCGGAAGCGUAUCUGAAUUCAUAACGCUUAAUUCCUCUCUAGAGUAGCGUGGUUGGCCUUUCAGAUCUACACGUUCUCCUAUAGAGUCCUUUAGUUCUCUCUACGCUCUCUCUCUAAUAAUGAGAUAUCAUAAAGAAUGGAAAGAAUACAUGUAACCUGAGGACCAUAACCACUUAUAUAGACAACUUAUUCCAGUUGUCACAUGAUAUUCAUAAUUCUGCCUAUCAUAGAAUUAGAAUAUUAUUGGGUCCUACACAUUAAGGCUCACACUAUAUUAGAUACAUUAAAGCUCAUAAUACCGAAAAUCUAAAUAGAUCACUUUUAAUUGAGCUUAACCUUAUACAACAGUCUGCAACACAUAAUUAUUCACAUAUAAGCCCAACGUUGGAUUAAGGAUCCAACAAUAUUGAAUUAAAAAAUCCAACAAUCUCCCACUUGGGCUAUAUGUGUAACCUUAUAAUUAUGUUUUGCAAAAAUAACCAUAUGAGCUCAACCUUACUGUCAUUAUAGAAAUAUAUAUAUAACUAAUCCGGUCCAUAAAUCAUACUAACGUAAGAUUACCCGUACCUCUAGCUUUUACACAAUAACUACAGAACAAUUAUAUUUCAACAUAAGUAUAAGAAAAGGUGCACGCAUAAGUACACAGAAUGGACUGUAGACCGUAAUAUCCGGAUUCAUAAGUACAAGAGGCAGAACUACAGAACAAUUAUAUUUCAACAUAGCAUCAUUAUCUAAGAAAAGGUGCACGCAUAAGCAUUAUACGAUGAAGCCUACUUGCUUAAUUUAUAAUGGAAGGAAAGCCAACCAUGAUGACUCGUCUGCCAUAAUGUUUAAUGUCAGAGAAAAAGAAAAAAUUAUUUUGCUAAUAUGCAUUCUUCUUAGUUCUAAGACUAUCUAUCAAGAAAAUUGACUUCAUUAAGAUCGUUGCCUUUCAAAGAAUUCAUCAACUGUACAAAAAGCAACUUCGAACAACCAUUAAAUGCUCUAUUGAAAAAUCAAUAUCAUAGGUCCGCACGUUUAAUAUUUUCAUUCCUGGCAACAGAGAAAAAGACUGCACCUCUCCCAGAGUCACGUCCUAAGAUAGUUGUCCAAAGCCAAUGCAGUUUCUACCACGUCUUAUGUCUCGACGAACAUGAGCUUAUACUGCAUUAUUUCCUGCAAGAAGAAGGCCAUCAGGUUUCCCUCCCAAGAAAACAUGAGCUUCUACUUAAAUGUGAAUUAAUUAUCAAGUUAUAACAGAGAAAAACAAAGAAAAGAUGCCAAAAUGUUUGAAGACAGACUGAUAAACUAAAAGGAGACGAGUGGCAAUUAUUUCAUCCAUGUACAAGUAACUGAGAAAAAAACAUACAAUCCCAUCAGGGACAACGGAGGCCAUCUCCACCAAGAGCUUUCCAUAAUUAAUUUAUAAACAUACAAUCUCAUCAGGCUUUAUGGCGAGUGAAGCUUCACGGCAGCUAAGCUGCAACCGAAAUGUCAAAUAAACAAAGAGAUCAAUGGAGAUUUUAGCAUAAAAAUUAACAGCUUGUGAAACAAAGAUGACAGCAUAACAAUAUGCACUAUUUUUACAUCAGAAGCCAUAGUAUUGCAUCAGCAGUGGAAGGCGACAACUAACUAAAGAAUGAUGAAACUCAUUUUUCAUAGCAAAAAUAAUGAUAUUGAAUCCAAGCACAAUAAAUAUUAUUAACUUCAGAUAAGCCAUCUAGCUAAAAUAGCAAAAUAAAUAUGUUAGCACUCUAAUAGCUCAAGAUACAGAGCUACCAAAGCACUGCCCAAGAUUUCUUGCUCACAAACUGCCUCAACUAUCAGCUUUAUGCCAGCUGAUAUACACUCCAGUUUACACAGAUUAAAAAGCCACGUGUAUAACGGCCUCAUAACAGAUUUGAUUCCCUUCUCACGUGCGUUUUCACGUGCUUUACUUAAACCAGCUUAAAACGAUCUUGGAUGAUGCCGUUUUAAACAGUAAGUUGAGCACAUGUUUAGCUCGUGACUUCUUGAGGCAUUUGAACCCAAUCUGAAACGCUUCCGUUUAACCCUUCAAGUUUUGUAUUCAGCAGAUUAAUCCACAAAAUCAAAUCUGGAAACCGAACGAAGGCCAUUCAAAUUUUUUCGGAAGACCUUAAAAUUGAACAUUCUGGAGGCAAAGGGAAGUAAAACACGUUCCAAAAUUUCGUACCUGUCUGUAAAACCUCCGUCAAAAUAUGAACAAAGUUUGCCCUGUAGCUUUUUCCAUCUUUUUUAUUUUUUACAAGACCAAAACUGGAUAACCGAGGGUCACCAUCCUGCGAUGAAAUGAAAAUUAAUUAAUGAACCUGUACAAUCAAAUGCAUAUGAACAUGCUGAAAAAUCAUAUGAAGCAGCCACAAGUUCCCUGACCUAUAUAUUUCUCCAGUAAUUAAAAUUAUUCUUAUAGAAGCAAUGAAAUGAUUAGCAGACUUUUACCUUUCAGUUUGCGUACAAGUCCCCUUACCCAUGUAGUCAUCCUCACUCUUUGCAUAAAUGUAUUGCAACUCCAGCAAUGACCCUAAUCUUGUAAGAACAGGAAUGUGUAGCAAUCGAUAGUCUGGUGAUUCACUGCCAGCUUAGCCAUUCUCAUUUCUCUGACCCUGUGGUUAUUUCUUAUGUUUAUGCUAGCUGCCUUAUGUCUAUUCGAGAGGAUCUAUGGGAUGCCGUAGUGACAUACUUUCAUAGCCAUGAUCGCCCUUGGAUUGUUGGUGGGGGACUUUAAUGUUGUUCAGUCUGUUUCGGAGAUUUCUGGUGGGCAUAACCAACCCUAGGGAGCUAUUGAUGCUUUCAACCUAACAUUGGUGGAUUGUGGGUUGGAGGAUGCUGGGUUCGUUGGUAGCCCAUAUACUUGGACUAAUGGACAUGCUUGGAGGCGGCUUGAUCAGGUGGUCUGUAAUGCUUGUUGGUCUGAUUUUUUCUCGUCGUUUCAGGUUACUCACCUGAACCGUACAGCUUCGGACUAUUCUCCUCUGCUCUUUUCCUGUGACAAGGGUGCGACUAAGGGACCUCCCAGAUUUAAAUUUUUGCAUACUUGGCUCAGACAUCCGGGUUUCUUUGAUGUUGUGACUCAGUCUUGGGAUUCUCCAGUGGUUGGUUUCGGGAUGCGGGCAUUCCAACAGAAGCUUGUCCGUCUGAAGAAUUGUUUGAAAGCUUGGAACAAGGAAGUGUUCGGCAAUGUCUUUUACAGAGUGAAAGAAGCUGAGAAGGACAUAGCUCGGAAGAAGAGGCAGUACGACCUUUCUGGUUCUGUGGAGGAUAGGGUUAUGUUUUCAGAGGCCAGGGCUCAUUUGCAGCAUGCCUUGUUGUGCGAGGAGAGUUUCUUGAGACAGCAGUUCAAUGUCCGAUGGGUCCGAGAGGGUGAUGCCAAUACCCGCUUUUUUCAUGCGAUAGUUCAUUUUUAUCAAUGUCCUUUUGAUCAGAAAUUCAUGAAGAUUUCAUCCAUUAGUUUUUUUGUGGCCCAUUUAGUAGUGGCUGCAUUCUGUUUGUUGAAAUGUCUUAGAGAAGCUUGCAAGUUGCAAUACUAACAAGCUUAAUGAGCUGGAGAUAAAGUGGCAGUGAGCUGGAGUUAAGCUGACAUGGAGCAUGAAUCAGCAUUGUCUUAAGAGCAAUCCAGAGUUAGUUAGAGAGAAAGUAAAAGCAGAGGAAGAAGACAAUGAUCAUGUGAUAUAUGUACAGUACAAUAGCAGUAGCCGUUAGAUCAAUUGAUUUACAACCAUUACACCAUAAGCUUGCUACCCCAGCUAUGCACUGAUGCAUUAAUAGAAAAGAAAGUGAAUGAAAAAGAUGUGCUGUGCUCAAUCAAUUAAUCCUUUUGCGUCUGCCACCAAAACUUAAGGUAGUUAGAAAUUUUUUAACUAGUCAAAAUACCAAUAUUUCCAAAAGCUUUAAGCUUAUGGGACAACCAGUUGCUCAACAUCGACCUUGAUAUCAGAACCAAUCCGGAUGAGGAGUCAGGUGUUCGAAUUCCAUCAUUCAAAAUUGCCUUAUAAUUCCCGCGCUUUCUUGGCAAGAAAAGGCAGUGGAGGCCUUUUAUUAACCAUAAGGGGUGGAUUAAUUGAUGGAUUAAAAUCUUUUGGCAGUCAUUAUUUUACUGGUUGGAAUUUCUUUAUGUUCUACUAUUAAUGAAUUUUCCUUGCCAUUUUUAAGUCUGUGAUAUAAGUGUUCAUAAUGGUGCGUUGUCGAUGUAGUUCUCUCCAGCGAAUCAUGUGUUGAUGCACAUAUUGAAAAAGAGGUAAAGAAUCUAAAUUUCCUGCUUCACAGUGUAGAUGAUAGAAUUUUUCAGUUUAAAACGUGAGGAGUUUUAGUUCACAUGCACUCUGUUUUCGUAGUAGUCUUAAGAUAUGUUGUCACUUGUCAGUGUUCUUGUAGUUCCCUUUUAAGACUACAUCUUGUCUAGUUGUCUUUGUACUCAAAAGUAUGUAGUUAGUGGCGAUAAAUGGAGUGCUUUUGUAUGUUACUUUUUAAUGAAUGAUGGAAAAAAUAAUUCAUAAGCAUCUUAGCAUAACAUUUUCACUCAAUUAAUGCAUAUCAACAACGGUUUACUGAUGCUCUAUAUGUGACUCAUUUCCAGGAAGCCUUUAUCAGGUAUGCUUAACUCAUUGAAAACUUAUUAUUUUUCAUGUUUGGGCCAUCACAACAUUGACAUUGUUGAUGCUGUUCGUGUCUUUCUCACUGUACAUAAGAAUGUAAACUCUUUUUGGAAGGUAUAAGAUCAAGAUUCUGUUUGAAAUCUUUACCAUCAGCUUGCUUUUCAUUUGGUGGAUACUACUAUCGAUAAUGUCAUUUUUGUCAUCACAAACAUAACGCCUACUCUUCAUCUGUACAAAUCACCAUAAAUUUAAAAGAAGAAUAGACAUUAAUAAAUUUUUGGAGCAACAAAAGUGUAUAUUAACUAAUCUUCAUAUUUUUAAUAAUAAAAAAUAAUUUUUGACCCUUAGCAGCUGCUUCAACUUGAAGUUGACCUUCCCAACAUUUCCAACUGACAUUUUGUCCAUCGAUUGUUACAUUCAUCCUCAAAGCAUGCACUGAAGAAGGGAGGCUCAUACUCCACUGGCUGCAAGCCUGCAACAAUUAAGCUCAGGGAUUAUUAAAAAAAAACCACAAUUAAUUAAUUCCAAAUACAAAUGUAGAAACUUAAUUAAGACAUCAGAUAUCAGUUCUAUAAGGGGGUAUCAUCACAUCAUCAUAGUAGAGCGGCUUCACUGAUACAUUACGCUGUAACAAAUUAGGAAUAAUAGAUAUCUCAUUAGUUGAUAAUAAUGUGCCAUAAAUAAUAUUCAAUCAUGUGAAAAUACUUGAAAAAUUAAUCUUCAAAGUGCAAACUGAGACUAUAGCGAGUAUCACUACAGGCAUUUCCAAACCCUUAUUAUAUCUCGGACGCUUUUGCAAUUUACUAAGCAAUUUAGCAGGUGAGGUGCUGAAUGUAUAGUACAGAUGUGACAAGUUAAAUAAAUACAGUCUACACAAAAAUAGAAAGAUAAAUGAAAUUUAAUUAUUGAUGUUGAUUAAAUUAAAUGAAACUGCAUAUAAAGGAAGACAUGUUCCAAUGUCUGUAUAAUCCUCUCAAUAAAUAUCUCAAGAGUAAGAACAUAAAAAAAAAAGAGAAAAUAGAUAUGAAAAUAAAGCCUUAAUUACAGGAAUAUUCUUCAAUCAAAGGCCCUUCAUUUUCAUAAAGAAUUUUCCACACCGAAAAAACGAACUACAUUGCAUGCCUACCGAAAAAUUAAAUAAAAAUUGUUUUUAAUUUCGAAUAGCGAGCCCAAAUUUUCUAUUUCCAGAAGAAAUCUUAUGCUGUUGAAAAGUUUCAUAUUAGGAAUCAUUUACUGCUAGUGUCAGUGAAGUCUCCUUAGUGAUCUGCGGUUUCUUCACUCGUGAUCUACCAGACUUGAAACGAUAAUCAUAUAAUGAGAUAAGUAUUAACUGUUAAUUGAACUGUAGAAUCUCAAAAAUGAGUAAACGGAUUACAAAUUAAUUAUGACGAGUUUGUGUAUCCCUUGGAUUAAAAUAUCAAGAUUUAUUAGGUCUAUAUAAUUAAUUUGAUAUUUUAAUAUCUUCAAUUUGGUAUAUCAGAAUAUUAAGAUUUAUUGGGUCUUUAUCAAGAGCCGUCGCCAAUUGAUCAUUUCAUGGGGUUUGAUACAGCCACAGAACUAAGAUAAAAUUUCAUAGGUAGACUAUUACGGUUACUCCACCAUAAAACAAACGAUAUUUUGAAAAGAAAAUUAAGACUCUGGUAGUUAAUUUGCCUCGUAAUUAAUUAUUGCGGACAAACCAUCACAAAAAUUUUUCAAUUAUUAUUUACUUUUCCAUUUUCUUUAAGGGUGAGACUACUUACAUUUUAAAAAUUACUUUGAAUAUUUUUUAUUUUGAUAAAUUACUUUAUUACAAAAAUACUUAUCAUAUGAAUUACUAAUAAAGACUGUAUCUUUUAUAAACUAAUAUAAUAUUAUUACUCUGAACACUCAUAUAGCAUAGUCAAUAUUCAAUAUAUAAUUUCUUGCUAUAAAUUCUAAAAAUCUCAACCACAAUCUCUUAGAGAAUGUUUAAUUAAACAAGGGGCAAGUCAAUACUUAAAAUAUAUUUAGAACAUUUUUUGCUUUUUAUUUUUUUUUAAAAGUAUGUUUUCGUAGUCUUUUCCUUCUUCUUUUUUUUAGGGGGGGGGGGGGGGGGGGGAAGGGGACUAAAUGGCCCUUUUGUUAGGUUAAAAAGUUGGGGUGUGAAAAUCAAUAUUGUACAUAUUCUUUAAUAGACAAAAACUAAUAAUUAAAAUUUAUGUUAAAGAAUUUGUUUAGAACAAAAUUUGAUUCUAUUGUUGUACAUACUAAAUUGUUAUUAAUUCAUUUUGUACAAAUGCUCGUUUAGUCCCUAUAUUUUAACUUUAGUGCUUAUUUAAUACCUAUAUUUUAAAAAACGCCUCAAGAUACCUAUACUAUUAAAUAUGUUGUACUCUUUUCCUUACUUUUUCUUAGCUUUUACAAUAAUACCCAACAAUAUUUUUUACAUUAAUUGUUUAAUCUAUAAAAAAAGUUACUUAGCAAAUUAACUAAUAAUUAAACAUCAAUAUCAAACAAGCGGUACUUUUUAUACCCUUACAAGAAUCUUGCUGAUCAUUAUUUAUAAAUAAAUUAAUAAUAGCCAAUUUAAAGUAAUGUUUAAUAUCCUUUCAACAACAUUACCAAUAAUGUUUUGUUAAAAAAUUAAUUUACUAAAUUAAUCCUAAAUAUAAAAUAAUAGCAACUAAUUUUUAUUUUACUUUUAUGGCUAAUUUAAUAAAUUUAUUUUUUUCAUUAAUAUCUUUAAGAAUAUUGUUGCAAAGAUAUUAUUAUAAAAGUGAAGAACAAGCUCAAUUAAAAUAAAUAAUGCAAGCUAGUACUAAAUACCUAUUAUAAUUUUAGAAUAGUUUAUUAAAAUAAAAAGGGAAAAGGACAUCUACACAUGCAUUAUUUAUUAUGCAUUACUAAAUACCUAUUUAUUAUACUGUUAAACUUGAGCCGUUCAUCCGUUAUCUAUACAUGCAUUAUUUAUUAUGGUACCUCAGCAUCAUUUUAUCUCCAAGUGCAAAUGCUGAAAAUUAAUUAAGAGGUAAGUAAGGCAUCAGUUAAAUUUGCACCCUACUACCCUGUACUUUUUAUCAAUCAAUACACCUGGUGAGUCCCUAAAAUUUGCACCCUAACAACAACAGCUAGCCACAAUUAGUCAUGAACACCAAAAAGUCCGCGCAGGAUGUGUAAAAUGGACAUGUCUAUGACAUCAUUUUUAUAACUAUAAAAGUAAUAAAAUAUUCUCCUAAAUAUAUUAACCAAUGCGAUUUUGAUUAUUAAAAAAUAUAAUUUCAUUAAAAAUUCAUCGGUCUUACUAAAAUAUGUAAGAAACACGUAAAGUAAUGCACAUAACUUUUUUUUAUUUUUUUAAAGGAGGGGUGCAACAUGAGGACUUCUCAAGAGGUCACUCAUCUUAGUACUGUUCUCGCCCAAGCAUGCUUAACUGCAGAGUUCUGAUGGGAUCCCGUGCAUUAGUGAUGGUAUGGUCGCACCCAAGCAAUGGACAUAACCUUAAUUUUUCAAAUGUUCUUCAUUUUUUUUUAAUCCUUUUGGAUAUCGUGAGAUCUUUAAUAAGGUGGGAAUCAGAGGGGGCCAAGUUCGUUUGGACAGUCCUUCAAAAUAUACUUUUAACUAGUCAAGAAAAAGAUUAGGAGUUGUAAUAUUAACGAAAUUUUAGUAUUGAUAAAUAUGUACGACAGAUUAUUAAUACUAAAUUGAACUUAAAAUGUAUUUAUUAUUACUUUGAUUUUAUUAUAAUUCUAUUUAUUAUAAAACAAUAAACUGAAAUCAAUUUUUGUUCAGAGUCCAACAAUAAAAUAAUCGAAAGGGCCAUUUCCGAGACUAUUUUUUAAACAUUAAGGUCUAUGUCCAUAAUUAAAUAAAUUAUGGAAUAUAAAUAUCCUUUUCCUUCAUAAUUACCGCCAAAUUACUCCCAAUCUCCACGCGCAUUAAAUUUGGUUGGUAUGCUUUGAUCGUCGGUUCGUCUUCAUGUUUACAAUUAUUUACUUUUUGGACCACGUUUGGCACAUGCCGAAAUUGAAUCUUAGCCCUUAAUCUUACCGACUAAUUGUACGAUAAAACUUGAACCGUUGAUGCCUUAUCUAUACUUUGCAACGUCACAAUCACCCCCGUUUGGCACAUGCCGAAAUUGAAUCUUAGCCCUUAAUCUUGCCGGCUAAUUGUACUAGAGAACUUGAACCGUUGAUGCCUUAUCUAUACUCUGCAACGUCACAACUACCCACUUUGGCACCGUAGGCGACUUGAUCUCUAUAUAUCAUGCCAAAUCAGAAGCAAGAACUCGCUCAAGUACUUAUUUUUUAAUAUAGUGCACUCGAAGCUAGCAAAGAUCUUUUCUGACUUGAAGAAUAUGAAAACUCUUGCUGGCGCAGGUAUUUAGGCCUACUUCAGUUUCUUUUUUGAGAAGGGCCAACUUCAGUUGAAUAUCAUUUAUAAUUCUUUUUUUAAUAUAUGCAUUUAUGAAUAUAUUUUUCAAUAUAAAAUUUUUAGGUAUGAGCGAUCCGUCAGAAGGUUUGGUACUCCCUUCCAGUAUUGCUGAUGAUGAUGUUGGAAAUGACAAUCUUGAUCUUAUUGUUAUUCCUCAAUAUGGGAGAAAUCCUGAUUAUUAUGGGUAAGUGUCUGCAAUCUGGAUGAUGAUAUAUGUAAUUAAAUAAAAGGAUGGGUACAGUUAUUACCUAUCAAUCAUAAGAGUGUCAAUUUAGUUCAGUUCACUAAUAAAAAUCUCUUAUACAAGAGAUUAUCUUUGUUUGCGUUCAUGUACUUUGUCUUCUUUAAUUAAUAAAUAAAAUUAUUGUGUAUCAAUGUGUUGAUUAAAUUAGUACAUUAAUAGAUAUAAAAUCAUUUGAAUUUGUCCACA
rnacentral:lncRNA from 1 species